CGUUUGAUGAGCAGAUCUAGGGUUUCAUGAGAUCUAUCACAAGCUUUAUCUGGCAACUUGAUGUCGAAGGCACCAAGGGAUCCACAGAUUUGAACAAGGGAUCCACAGAUUUGCUGGAGAAUGGCCGGAAUCAGGUGACUGUCUGUCCAUGAAUCUCUCUGGAAUCAUGUUUCAGAUGAAGAUUUCUAUAUAAAACAUACCAGUUUGUGUGGAAGAACGAGCAAGGAGAGAAGAGGCGCUCUUCACCCGAG